rnacentral:rRNA from 1 species
UACAGAGGUCUGCAAGCGUUGUUCGGUUCAUUGGGCUAAAGGGGUGCAGUAGCGGGCGCGUAAGUCGGGUGUGAAAUCUCGGGGCUUAACUCCGAAACUGCAUUCGAUACUGCCGUGCUUUGAGGACUGGAGAGGAGACUGGAAUUUACGGUGUAGCGGUGAAAUGCGUAGAUAUCGGGAGGAACACCAGUGGCGAAGGGCGGGCACCUGGGCUAACACUGACGCUGAUGCGCGAAAGCUAGGGGAGCAAACAGG